rnacentral:lncRNA from 1 species
UCCGUUUCCGGCCGAGGCUGCGGCCAUGGCAGCAUCUUCCCUGACGGUCACCUUAGGGCGGCUGGCGUCCGCGUGCAGCCACAGCAUCCUGAGACCUUCGGGGCCCGGAGCAGCCUCCCUUUGGUCUGCUUCUCGAAGGUUCAAUUCACAGAGCACUUCAUAUCUACCAGGGUAAUAUCAAAAUAUAUGUUCCUAAAACAUCCCUGAGUUCACCACCUUGGCCAGAAGUUGUUCUGCCAGACCCAGUUGAGGAGACCAGACACCAUGCAGAGGUCGUGAAGAAGGUGAAUGAGAUGAUCGUCACGGGGCAGUAUGGCAGGCUCUUUGCCGUGGUGCACUUUGCCAGCCGCCAGUGGAAGGUGACCUCUGAAGACCUGAUCUUAAUUGGAAAUGAACUAGACCUUGCGUGUGGAGAGAGAAUUCGACUGGAGAAGGUCCUGCUGGUUGGGGCAGACAACUUCACGCUGCUUGGCAAGCCACUCCUCGGGUAAUGGCUGUGAAGUGCUGGGCUUUGUCUGGGGCUCCAGGGCUGGACAUGCAGACAGUGGUCACAGUGCAAUUAGGCCAGAAAGGAUCUUGUUCGAGUAGAAGCCACAGUCAUUGAAAAGACAGAAUCAUGGCCAAGAAUCAUUAUGAGAUUCAGGAAAAGGAAAAACUUCAAGAAGAAAAGAAGUAAGUUAGAGAAAGUACCGCUGGGCCCUGUUGCACGGUGCUGGUUGCCCAGGCGCAUGCGGACGGAGGGUGUGGGGCACGUGGGUCUCGGGACAGGAAGCCCAGGCAGGUCUCAACCUGGCUGCCACUGCCCACUUGCCACCCUCAUCCUAGAGGGAGCACCCAGAGGGUCCAGCCUCGCUCCCCUUCUCCUCCACGCUCCACGCGUGACCCCACCUCGCUCCCCUUCUCCUCCACGCUCCGCACGUGACCCCACCUCGCUCCCCUUCUCCUCCACCCUCCGCGCGUGACCCCACCUCGCUCCCCUUCUCCUCCACCCUCCGCGCAUGACCCCACCUCGCUCCCCUUCUCCUCCACCCUCCGCGCGUGACCCCACCUCGCUCCCCUUCUCCUCCACCCUCCGCGCGUGACCCCACCUCGCUCCCCUUCUCCUCCACCCUCCGCGCGUGACCCCACCUCGCUCCCCUUCUCCUCCACCCUCCGCGCGUGACCCCACCUCGCUCCCCUUCUCCUCCACCCUCCGCGCGUGACCCCACCUCGCUCCCCUUCUCCUCCACCCUCCGCGCGUGACCCCACCUCGCUCCCCUUCUCCUCCACCCUCCGCGCGUGACCCCACCUCGCUCCCCUUCUCCUCCACCCUCCGCGCGUGACCCCACCUCGCUCCCCUUCUCCUCCACCCUCCGCGCGUGAACCCACCUCGCUCCCCUUCUCCUCCACCCUCCGCGCGUGAACCCACCUCGCUCCCCUUCUCCACCCUCCACGCGUGACCCCACCUCGCUCCCCUUCUCCUCCACCCUCCACGCAUGACCCCACUUUGUUCCAACCCAUGACGCCUAGCACUGUCCCCAAAGCAGCAGUGAAUCCGCAAGCAGGUGUAGGGCUGUCCUAGCAGGUCUGCACUGAGGACAUCCCCCAUAGUGGGCAUCCUGAGGGAUGGCACCCACGGGGCAUGGGCCACAUAGCUGAGCGGCUGCAGAAUUCUGUCCCUCACAGCUCUUGCUAUAACUGCAGUUGCCGGCCUAAACCACCAACAGUGGGCAUAGUUAAAUAUACCCAGAAUACUGGUAUUGGCUGUCACCUUAGAGUCAUCUGGGUAGGGGAGCCUCUCAUGUACCUUCUGACACUUCCAGGUAGCCUCAAGGUCACUCAGGUGGGGCCAUCCUCCCACGCACUCCAGAAGUCACAGCAUAGACAGUGUGGGAGGAGAGGUGAGGUGCCAGCGCAGGGCACUCCUGGCCAUGAGGCGUCUGGUGUCCCAGCCUCUGCACCUGCCAACAGAGUGAACGAACAAGCUAGCGAGGCAGUCAGUGCACACCUGGAGAUAAACACGGCCAUGUGCAGCAGGGGACGUUGCCGGGGUCGCGCUGGCUGGGGAGGGCUGUGUGCAGAGCCCCUGCUGUAACUGAUGACAACAGUCAGGGUCUGUGGUCAAGCCUGUGACAUCCUUUCUUUCAGUCGUCACGACCCCGCAGACUGUCCUCCGGAUAAACAGCAUUGAGAUUGCUCCGUGUUUGUUGUGAUUACCGAGUUAAUACUUACAAAAGGAUAAAAAUAAACUCCUGCUUCCCAAGG